rnacentral:rRNA from 1 species
GAAGCACCUUCGGGUGUGAAUUAGCGGCGAACGGGUGAGGAACACGUGAAGAAUCUGCCUUCAACUCUGGGAUAACUCCGGGAAACCGGGGCUAAUACCGGAUAUGAGCCUUGAUCGCAUGAUCGGGGCUGGAAAGUUUUUCGGUUGAAGAUGACUUCGCGGCCUAUCAGCUUGUUGGUGAGGUAAUGGCUCACCAAGGCGACGACGGGUAGCCGGCCUGAGAGGGCGACCGGCCACACUGGGACUGAGACACGGCCCAGACUCCUACGGGAGGCAGCAGUGGGGAAUAUUGGGCAAUGGAGGAAACUCUGACCCAGCGACGCCGCGUGAGGGAUGAAGGCCUUCGGGUUGUAAACCUCUUUCAGUAGGGAAGAAGCGAAAGUGACGGUACCUACAGAAGAAGCACCGGCUAACUAUGUGCCAGCAGCCGCGGUAAUACAUAGGGUGCAAGCGUUGUCCGGAAUUAUUGGGCGUAAAGAGCUCGUAGGUGGUUCGAUACGUCGGAUGUGAAAAUCAGGGGCUCAACCCCUGACCUGCAUCCGAUACGGUCGAGCUAGAGUUUGGUAGGGGAGACUGGAAUUCCUGGUGUAGCGGUGGAAUGCGCAGAUAUCAGGAGGAACACCGAUGGCGAAGGCAGGUCUCUGGGCCAAUACUGACACUGAGGAGCGAAAGCGUGGGGAGCGAACAGGAUUAGAUACCCUGGUAGUCCACGCCGUAAACGGUGGGCGCUAGUUGUGCGAACCUUCCACGGUUUGUGCGACGCAGCUAACGCAUUAAGCGCCCCGCCUGGGGAGUACGAUCGCAAGAUUAAAACUAAAAUGAAUUGACGG